rnacentral:lncRNA from 10 species
ACACCAACGAGAACUGCGCUUUAGCGGCGCUGCUGAAGGCACUGGAUGGCCAAACAACCGCGAACGCCGACAAGCCGAAGAGCCGAAGGGCCGAAAAGCCGAAGCGGACACCCGCGCGCGGUGAUUGGCCGGUUGGCCGGAAGAACUCUGUCUCUGAUUGGCAGGAGAGUCACGAACCGCAAGCUGCAGUGUGGUAAACUGCCUUUGAAAGAGACCCACAUGUCAAGAAACUGAGCAUCACCUGUGACCAACAGCCAGAAAGUAACUGAAGCCCCAAGACGAACAGCUUGUGCAAAACUAAAUUCUGCCUACAACAAGAGCAUGAAUUGAGACGCAGAUCCUUCCCUAGUUGAUCCUUGAAAUGCUUGCAGCUCUAUGGACACCUUGAUUGCAGCCUUGUGAGAAAUUCUGAACUAGAGGACCUCGUAUGCCUUACCCAUAGGUCUUACAAGAUAAUACGUGUUUUUCAAAAAAGUAAGUUUGGGGAUAAUUUCUUAUGCAGCAAUAGAUAAUGAAUAAUAAAGUAAAUACAGUUUUUUGCUGUUGACUUCAAAAAUGUUUAAAGAUUUUACUGUUAUAUAAUUGUACAUAUUUAUGGGGUACAUGUGAUAUUUUGAUACAUGCAUACAAUGUGUAAUGAUCAAACUGGGGUAAUUUGAAUAUCCAUCACCUCAAAUGUUAUUUAGUGGUAUUGGGAACAUUCCAAAUCUUGUAGGUAUUUUGAAAUAUACAAAAAGUUAAUUUUAUAUAUAAAUAUAUGUCAUAUAUUAUUAAUAUAU